CAAAACGACUCUCGGCAACGGAUAUCUCGGCUCUCGCAUCGAUGAAGAACGUAGCGAACUGCGAUACUUGGUGUGAAUUGCAGAAUCCCGUGAACCAUCGAGUCUUUGAACGCAAGUUGCGCCCGAAUCUGUUUGGAUGAGGGCACGUUUGCCUGGGUGUCA
rnacentral:rRNA from 1 species